UGCGUAGGCGGUCCCGCAAGUCCGCUGUGAAAGCCCCGGGCUUAACCUGGGAAUGGCAGUGGAAACUAGGGGACUUGAAUCUGGCAGAGGGGGGUGGAAUGCCACGUGUAGCAGUGAAAUGCGUAGAGAUGUGGCGGAACACCGAUGGCGAAGGCAGCCCCCUGGGCUGAGAUUGACGCUCAGGCACGAAAGCGUGGGGAGCAAACAGGAUUAGAUACCCUGGUAGUCCACGCCCUAAACGAUGAUCACUAGGUGUUGGGGAAGCGAUUUCUCAGUACCGCAGCUAACGCGUGAAGUGAUCCGCCUGGGGAGUACGGUCGCAAGAUUAAA
rnacentral:rRNA from 1 species